UGCAAUUAUACUCUAAAUUCGUUCACUACCUUGAGGUUGUGAAGUAACCAAGAAGAUUGCUACAACAACACUGGAACUGACACGCGAGAAAUAGUCAGUUCCAAAAUUUA